UACGUAGGGGGCAAGCGUUGUCCGGAGUUACUGGGCGUAAAGGGCGUGCAGGCGGUGCAGUAAGUUUGGGGUGACAGUCCCCGGCUCAACUGGGGAAGGCCUUCAAAAACUGCUGGACUUGAGGGCCAGAGAGGGACAUAGAAUUCCGGGUGGAGUGGUGAAAUGCGUAGAUAUCCGGAGGAAUACCAAAGGCGAAGGCAGUGUCCUGGCUGGCAUCUGACGCUGAGGCGCGAAAGCUAGGGGAGCGAACAGG
rnacentral:rRNA from 1 species